rnacentral:rRNA from 1 species
AUGGAGGAGGGCCUGGUGAGCGCGGCGACGGGGGCGCUGCAGCCCGCCCUGGCAAAGUUGGCCGCUGUGCUCAGCGACGAGUACAAGGGGGUGCGCGGCGAGGUCGAGCACCUCACCCGCGAGCUCGCCGAUAUGGACGCGUUCCUCCUCGCCAAGUCGUCGUCGUCGUCGGAUCUCAUUCCCAGUGAGCUGGACAAGGCCUGCAUGCACGAGAUCCGGGAGCUGUCCUACGACAUCGACGACGACCUCGACGACUUCAUCAUGGCUAGCGUCUGCGACAAAUCCGCCAAGCUGGCCGGACUCUUGGACGAGAUGAAGGCCAUGCUGGGCCGGACCAAGGCUCGUCACCAGAUCACCAAGGCCGUCGAUGAUCUCAAGGAGCAGGUGGUCCACGUUGCCGAGAGGCACACCCACAAGAGGUCCAAGGUUGAUCACAGGGCUCCCACCGUCGUCGACGACGCGUCCAAGCUCGUCGGUCUUGAUGGGCCCAAGCAAGAGCUCAUCCAACUACUCGCCGGUUCGGUCGAGUCAACGCAGCAGCAGCAACCGCACCCAAACUUGGUGGCUGUUGUUGGAUCCGGAGGAACGGGGAAGACAACCCUCGCAAACCAAGUGUACCAAAAGCUCAAAGGCCAACUCGAUUGCCAUGCUUUCUGUUCCGUGCGACGGAAUGCAGACAAGGUCCAGGUUUUGCACUCCAUUUACAAUCAGCUCUAUUCUUCUUACAAUAACCUCGGCCGUCGAUCUUCUCCUCGUCCUGGCGUGAGGGAUUUGCCCGGACUUAUCACCAUGAUUUCAAACUACCUCCAACACAGAAGGUGUAUUAUUGUACUUGAUGAUAUAUGGGAUGUGGAAAUAUUGAAGGUUAUUGAGUGUGCAUUUCCCACAGCCAGUUCUGGUAGUAAAAUAAUAAUCACUACUCGUAUACAUGCCGUCGCUCAAUCAUGUUGUUCAACUUUCAGCGGACAUGUAUACAAUAUAAGGCCUCUUAGUAUGGUGCAUUCGAGGCAAUUAUUCUAUACAAGACUAUUCAACUCUGAAGAAAAAUGUCCAUCAUACCUCAAAGAGAUUUCUGGUCAGAUCUUGGAUAAAUGUGCUGGCUUACCUUUGGCAAUCAUAGCUAUGUCUAGUGUGUUGGCUGAUAAGGCAAGUGAAAAGGAAAUAUGGGACCAAGUGAAGGAUUUAAUUGGUCGUGCACUAAGAAAUUCUAGCGUCGAAGACAUGGUAAACAUAAUAUCCCUUAGUUACUUGGAUCUUCCUCCUCAUCUUAAAACAUGUCUACUAUACCUGAGUAUAUUUCCAGAGGGGCACAUUAUUGAGAAGGAGAAUUUGAUAAGGAGGUGGAUUGGCGAGGGAUUCAUUCAGAAAAAAUCUGGUUAUACAGUAUAUGAGUCAGGAGAGAUGUGUUUCAAUGAUCUCAUCAACAGGAGUUUGAUCCAGGCUGCGAAGAUGGAUGAGACAUUUGGUGACGAGGUGAAGAGUUGUCGUGUUCAUGACACCGUUCAUAAUUUCAUCGUAUCUAAGGCUGUUGAAGAGAACUUUGUUACUAUAGUAGGUGUACUUGGUGUUAUAAAUCCUGAUCCCAAGGCCAAGAUUCGUCGAGUGUCCCUACAAAAUGAUGGCGAGAUUCCUCCGAGUCUUGAUGUGUCUAGUGCCCGAUCACUCCAUGUGUUUGGUCGUAAUGGGAAGAUCCCAUCUUUGUCGGAGUUUCGACUCUUGCGUGUUCUGGACUUUGAGGAUUGUUCACAGUUAGAAGAUGAUCACCUUGAGGGUAUUGCAAAUUUGGUUCACCUCAAGUACUUGAGGUUUAAACAUGCCAAAGCCGUGACGAAGAUUCCAGAACAGGUGGCAAUGCUGCAUCAUUUAGAGAUUGACGUGAAAGGAUAUAGCAAACUAAUGGAAAUACCUAUGACCAUCCAAGAAAGGUUGGUCUGUUAUGUAACUCUACAUGUCGAUGGUUAUGAAACAGUACCGGAUGAAAUCGCAGCCAUGCAGGGAUUGCGAGUGUUGGAAGGUCUCAAUAUUUAUACUCAGUCAACGGAAUUUCUAAAGAGGCUUGGCCAACUGAAAAAACUGAGGAAGCUGGGCAUAAUAUGGAACAUGUAUGAUAUGAGUAAUUGUGAUGUUAAUGAAGAUAAAGAGGAGGAGGAGGUCGAGGAGGACGAGGAGGAGUUUCUCUCUUCCAUAUGUGAGCUCGGCAAAGCAGGCCUUGAGUCUUUGCACAUCUCUGUGAAGGAAGCAGCGGAUGCGUAUUUCAAGCUUUCAUGGUUUCCCGAUCCUCAGUGUGGCCUUCGUGAGCUUAUCAUCAUGGGGGACUCCCUCUCGGAGGUUCCAACAUGGGUGGCCUCGCUCGUCAACCUUGAGAAGCUAUGCAUCACAAUGCGAGUGAUCAAUGAGAGAGACAUGGAGAUACUAAGAGGCUUGCCCAGCUUGCGCCAUCUUCGCAUUUAUGCGGAUGAGGAUGAUGUGUCUGAGUCGCGGGCUGCUAUGGAGAAAGCAAUGGAGGAACAUCCUAACCGUCCCACCUUGGUUUGGUAUGAGUAUUAA